GACGAACGCUGGCGGCGUGCUUAACACAUGCAAGUCGAACGGUAAGGCUCCAGCUUGCUGGGGUACACGAGUGGCGAACGGGUGAGUAACACGUGGGUGACCUGCCCUGCACUUCGGGAUAAGCCUGGGAAACUGGGUCUAAUACCGGAUAGGACCGCACCGUGAGGGUGUGGUGGAAAGUUUUUUCGGUGUGGGAUGGGCCCGCGGCCUAUCAGCUUGUUGGUGGGGUAAUGGCCUACCAAGGCGGCGAUGGGUAGCCGGCCUGAGAGGGUGAACGGCCACAUUGGAACUGAGAAACGGUCCAAACUCCUACGGGAGGCAGCAGUGGGGAAUAUUGCACAAUGGAGGGAACUCUGAUGCAGCGACGCCGCGUGAACGAAGAAGGCUUUCGAGUCGUAAAGUUCUUUUAUAUGGGAAGAUAAUGACGGUACCAUAAGAAAAAGCCCCGGCUAACUACGUGCCAGCAGCCGCGGUAAUACGUAGGGGGCUAGCGUUGUCCGGAAUCACUGGGCGUAAAGGGUUCGCAGGCGGAAAUGCAAGUCAGGUGUAAAAGGCAGUAGCUUAACUACUGUAAGCAUUUGAAACUGCAUAUCUUGAGAAGAGUAGAGGUAAGUGGAAUUUUUAGUGUAGCGGUGAAAUGCGUAGAUAUUAAAAAGAAUACCGGUGGCGAAGGCGACUUACUGGGCUCAUUCUGACGCUGAGGAACGAAAGCGUGGGUAGCAAACAGGAUUAGAUACCCUGGUAGUCCACGCUGUAAACGAUGAGUGCUAGGUGUCGGCGUAAGUCGGUGCCGCAGUUAACACAAUAAGCACUCCGCCUGGGGAGUACGUGCGCAAGCAUGAAACUCAAAGGAAUUGACGGGGACCCGCACAAGCAGCGGAGCAUGUGGUUUAAUUCGAAGCAACGCGAAGAACCUUACCAGGGCUUGACAUACUGAGGACAAGUAUAGAGAUAUACCGUCUUCUUCGGAAGCCUCAAUACAGGUGGUGCAUGGUUGUCGUCAGCUCGUGUCGUGAGAUGUUGGGUUAAGUCCCGCAACGAGCGCAACCCUUAUCUUUAGUUGCCAGCAUUUCGGAUGGGAACUCUAAAGAGACUGCCGAUGAUAAAUCGGAGGAAGGUGGGGAUGACGUCAAAUCAUCAUGCCCUAUAUGCCCUGGGCUACACACGUGCUACAAUGGAAGGUACAAAGGGAAGCAAGAUAGCGAUAUUAAGCAAACCUCAAAAAGCCUUUCCCAGUUCGGAUUGUACUCUGCAACUCGAGUACAUGAAGAUGGAGUUGCUAGUAAUCGCAGAUCAGAAUGCUGCGGUGAAUGCGUUCCCGGGUCU
rnacentral:rRNA from 1 species